AUUGAACGCUGGCGGCAGGCCUAACACAUGCAAGUCGAGCGAGCGGCGGACGGGUGAGUAAAGUCUGGGAGACUGCCUGAUGGAGAGGGAGAACUACAGGAAACGGUAGCUAAUACCGCAUACCAUCAGAUGUGCCCAGAUGGGAUGAGCUAGUGGGGGGGGUAAUGGCUCACCUAGGCGACGAUCCCUAGCUGGUCUGAGAGGAGGACCAGACACACUGGAACUGAGACACGGUCCAGACUCCUACGGGAGGCAGCAGUGGGGAAUAUUGCACAAUGGGCGCAAGCCUGAUGCAGCCAUGCCGCGUGUAUGAAGAAGGCCGUCGGGUUGUAAAGUACUUUCAGCGAGGAGGCGUUACUCGCAGAAGAAGCACCGGCUAACUCCGUGCCAGCAGCCGCGGUAAUUC
rnacentral:rRNA from 1 species